UCUAUGGUAACCAGGCGGGGCGGGGCGGGGUCUCGCUCCUGCGCCCGGGGACCCGCCCCACUGCCCAGCUCGGGCGGCUCCGCUUCGGCCAGCUCGGGAAAUACCACUCUGGACUGGGGAGGGGGGAGCUUCAGCCGCCGGAAACGAGGAAGUCCGGUCUACCUUCACUCCCCCUCCUUCCGCCUUGUCAGGAAUGUGGAGCUGCCUAGAUUCAUCAUGAUUAGAUUGGAAAGUAUACUCCCCCCCGUAGGGCCAGGCAGAGCAACAGAGCUGCUGACCAGACUGGUCACCUAGGCACUGUGGGAUAUCCUCCUGAGGCUAAAAGCUGUGUAAACAGGAAGAAUGUGUCUUCACUUGCACAUCACUGGAAGAGCAUCACCGGUGGCUGUGUACCACAAAAGCAGAAACCAACCCAGCCCCCGGGAAAAUCAGUAAAUGUAAGAAGGAGUGAAACCCAACCACCAAAAUCCUAUUUGAAAGUGCCAUCCAAAUGGUUUAGGAAAUAUUGUACAAAAAUGUUCAGUUUAUUUAUGUCAGUGUUAUUAAAUUUUACCAAUCUACAGUUAUCUAAACAAUUGUGCCCACUAAAAUUUGGUGGAAUAUGGUUUAGAACUGUUGAAAAAACUUUCUGGACAAUAAGGUAUAAUUUAAAGUGUGUAAAACUGCCAAGGUGGGGAUGGGGCAACUGCACUGAAAAAAAUUAACAGGACUGGCCUGGAAAGUGGACUGUUUGAAAUUGCUAUGAUAGUCAGAAAUCAAGCUCACAGAUAUGCUGUGGGACCAUUGUUGCCAACACAGAGGGUGCCCGAGGCAGGCAACAGUGGUUCGUUGCCCAGAGUGCGAAGCGCCAAUGAACACACACCAGGGUGGAUAAGCAAGCAAAGUUUAUUUGAGAUCUCAAAAGUGGUGCAAGGAGACAAACACCUCAAAUCAUGCACACCUACACAAGUGGCUUUUCCCUUUUUAUAAGUUUUUUUUCCUCUUUCUUC